rnacentral:rRNA from 1 species
AUGAAUGACAAAAUCAUGAACUUCAUGUCAUGGAAUGUCAGGGGGCUGAACUGCCCUGCAAAGCGCACUGCGAUCAACGGCAUGGCCACCGCGCAUAGAUUAGCAAUGCUGUGUCUGCAGGAGACCAAAAUAGAGGUGUGGUCGACGGCAAUGGCCAGGGAGAUUGGUGGCUCCUUGCUGCAAGGCUGUGUCAUCCUUCCAGCGGUAGGUACUAGAGGGGGUGCGGCCAUCUUCUGGGACGAAACAGUAGUCGACGUAGUUUCUCAUAGCAUAGGAAGGUUCUCCAUUACGGCUAGGGUUCUUGAACUUCACUCAGGGCUGCACUUCUGGAUCACCACGGUGUAUGGCCCAACAGAUGAUUCCCAGAAGGAUAGCUUCUUGGCUGAAAUCGCUGCGACAACUCCAUCUACGGUAGAUCCAUGGAUGAUCAAUGGCGAUUUUAACAUGAUCUACCAGGCUGCAGACAAGAACAAUGCCAAUAUAAACAGAAGAAUGAUUGGAAAGUUCAGAAGGGCCAUAGAUCAAGCUGGGCUGAGGGAGAUAAAAUGCAAAAACCGCCGUUUUACUUGGAGCAACGAAAGAGAAGUGCCAACACUUUGCAGCAUUGACAAAGUUUUCUGCAACGAGCACUGGGAAGAAAUGCACCCUGAUCACAUUCUAGUGGCUGCUUCUACAUCAUUUUUGGAUCAUUGCCCGCUCUAUCUGAUAGCCGCAAGCAAGCCAUGA